AUAGCCACAACUUAUAGUUUCUCAUUAUUUGUACUUUACAGACUUUUUUUUUUUUGUUAAAGAAAAAGAGAGAAAGAAAGAAAGAAAGGAAAAAAAAAAAGAACAUUAAUAUCAUCCUAUUAUCGUUUUAGAAUAAAGAUUAUUAAUUACAUAAUAUCAACCUAGCUAUCCAAGUACUUAAUUUUACAUUCGUAUCUAAAAAUUAAAAUCGAAAUAAUCAAAGCCACCGAAGCAAAAACU
rnacentral:lncRNA from 1 species